rnacentral:lncRNA from 1 species
CUCACAGUGUUGUUUCCUUGCAUCUUUUCUUUAACGGUUUCUCGUUUCUGAAACCCCUUCAUAGCGUUUUCUUGCAUGUUUGCUUUGAUGAUAUCUUUUUUAAAGCCCCUUCAUAGCGUUUUCUUGCACGUUUGCUUUGAUGAUUUCUUUUCUGAAGCCCCUUCAUAGCGUUUUCUUGCAUGUUUGCUUUGAUGAUUUCUUUUCUGAAGCCCCUUCAUAGCGUUUUCUUGCAUAUUUGCUUUGAUAAUUUCUUUCUAAAGCCCCUUCACAGCGUUUUCCUGCAUGUUGAUGAUUCUUUUCUG